AGAGAAUUGCUUGAACCCAAGAGGCAGAGGUUGCAGUGGGCCGAGAUCGCACCACUACACUACAGCCUGCUGGGCAACAGAG
rnacentral:snRNA from 1 species